AUACAUAUAUAUAUAAAAACAAAGAAAUGAAAAAAGAAAAGAAAAUUAGCUAAAAUAGUAGCAAAGCGCCCAAGCAAAGAUCAUUUCAAUUUGUUAUUUAGUUAAACGCUAAGUUUUAUUUUAUUUAUUUUUCCUGCUAUAACUACUUAUUUAAGUAUUUACGCGUAGUUAUUGUUAGUAGUUUUAUACAUCUACCCCGGUAUUUCCACUUGGUAUAUAUACCCUCUGAAUGCAUGGGCCAUGACGAUUAGUUAGAGUUGGGUACUCUAUGCAAGUAUGGGUUAGUCAAGGCCUGAGAGCAGAGCUGUGCUUGAGAGCUUUCCUGUGAGCUCACCAGACGGGCGUGAGCGCAGCUCUGCCUUAGUUGUUGGCAAUAAGCUUCUAAGGUUGAUACUCUAGUACUGUAAGUCGAUAAUAUAUAUAUAUGUAUAUAUGUAGAGCAUUGACAAUCAAAGCCAUCAAUCUAUCAAUCAGCCAGUCAAUCAUGCCAAGUGAAUUGCCCUGUCCAAAAAUAAACGCCUAUUGUACAACUCCUACUACAUGUCAUCCACUAGCAACUAGUAUCGUUCAUAGUCUAGAGCAGUUCAGUCGCAUUGUUUCAAAUAGUGACCAACUCUAGUGUUGACUAACAGAAGAAAAAAUUAUAUACAAAAUCCCCAAUACCCUGAAAAUAAAAAAAAAAACCCGCCCCCAUCGAUGCGACACAUGCUGCAAUUACUGAAUGUUGAGCUAAGAUGCCAGCCCCCUCCACAAAUGCGCUGCCUGCACCCGCCGACAUCAAAAUCCUGCUACAGCUACAACAACAGCAACAGUAACAGUAACAGUUCAAGUAACAGUAACAGUAACAACAACAACAACAACAGUAACAGCAAGAGCUAACUGCAUUAAGCGCAAUAACAACAGCAGCAGCUGCAACAAGAACAACUACAACAACAACAACAAUAACAACAACAACAGCUUGAAAUAUAUAUAUAUCUAAAUAUAUAUAUAUAGUACAUAUAUAUGAAAAACGAAUGAAAACUGAAAGAAAAGCGCCUGCUCUGGCUUAUCAAUGGCUAUGGCUGAGGCUUUCGCCGGCUCCUGCUUCUGCUCCUAAGUCCCGUUUCCCUGUGCUUCCCGAUUCCGGUGCAUGUGCGUUAAAUUGCUAUAAUCGAAUAAUUAGAAUCGAGCAAUCGAUUGAUCACAAUAACAAAAACAAAACGAGCAAAUCAAUGCAAAAUGCAAAAGAACAAAAAAAAAAAAGAAAAAAAAAAGAAAAACAAUAUGAAAGCAAAGAAGUUGAAAUGAAAAACUGAUAAGAAAACAACAAACCGCUCGCUAAAGUAAAGACAACAGCUCCAGCUACAACAACAACACUUGGCGCACGCUUAGCACAUUUGCAUCUAAUACUAACUAUCAGCUACACACACACACACACACAGACACACAUACAGUUACACACACAGACAAGAGCUACACUUUAAGUUUCCGUUGCCUAACUCCAUUUGUUACACUCAAGUCUAACGCUUUGAUUUCUGUCAUGAUUUUCUUACGCUUACUUUUAACAAAUACUCUACUCUACUCUACUCUACUCGAAUGAGCAUUAUCCAAAUACUUGCCUAACUACUUGAAAUCGCUUACCUAUAUUUAACUAAAUAUAUAUAUAUUUAUAGUUAUAUAUACUUACUUAAAGCUGCUGCUACAAUCACCGAAUAAAAAGAUAUCACCAAAUCCCCGUAAAUACAAAAAAAC